GCGGCGGACGGGUGAGUAACACGUGGGCAACCUGCCCUGCAGACUGGGAUAACUUCGGGAAACCGGAGCUAAUACCGGAUAACACCGAAAACCGCAUGGUUUUCGGUUGAAAGGCGGCUUUUAGCUGUCACUGCAGGAUGGGCCCGCGGCGCAUUAGCUAGUUGGUGAGGUAACGGCUCACCAAGGCGACGAUGCGUAGCCGACCUGAGAGGGUGACCGGCCACACUGGGACUGACACACGGCCCACACUCCUACGGGAGGCAGCAGUAGGGAAUCUUCCGCAAUGGACGAAAGUCUGACCGACCAACGCCACGAGAGCCAACAAGGUCUUCGGAUCUGUAAAGCUCUGUUGUCAGGGAAGAACAAGUGCCGUUCGAACAGGGCGGUACCUUGACGGUACCUGACGAGGAAGCCACGGCUAACUACGUGCCAGCAGCCGCGGUAAUAC
rnacentral:rRNA from 1 species